rnacentral:lncRNA from 1 species
CAGGAACCUAUGGAGGCUUCUCCUGGGGUGGAGCUGACAGCUGGUUGAGGAGAGGGUUGUAAGAAGAAGUUGAUGUUCUCACCAAGGUCAAGGUGUGGCUGUAGAAUUUGACAGUGGUAAGGACAAUGCAGAGGAUCAGGCAGAUGAUGAGAAGAGUUGGGAUGUCCAUCCAGGUCCUCAUCAGGCUCUUUGUAAGCUGUCCCUGAGGAGACAUGAGGCUGUGGGAAAAGGCGGAGAAUCAAAUCGAU